rnacentral:rRNA from 2 species
AGAGUUUGAUCCUGGCUCAGGACGAACGCUGGCGGCGUGCCUAAUACAUGCAAGUCGAACGCGUCUCCGUUAAUGAUUUUAGGUGCUUGCACUUGAGAGAUUUAACAUUGAGACGAGUGGCGAACUGGUGAGUAACACGUGGGUAACCUGCCCUUGAAGUAGGGGAUAACACUUGGAAACAGGUGCUAAUACCGUAUAACAACCAAAACCACCUGGUUUUGGUUUAAAAGACGGCUUCGGCUGUCACUUUAGGAUGGACCCGCGGCGUAUUAGCUUGUUGGUAAGGUAACGGCCUACCAAGGCGAUGAUACGUAGCCGACCUGAGAGGGUAAUCGGCCACAUUGGGACUGAGACACGGCCCAAACUCCUACGGGAGGCAGCAGUAGGGAAUCUUCCACAAUGGACGAAAGUCUGAUGGAGCAACGCCGCGUGAGUGAUGAGGGUUCGGCUCGUAAACUCUGUUGUUGGAGAAAAACAGGUGUCAGGGUAACUGUUGAAUCUUGACGGUAUCACCAGAAAGCACGGCUACUACGUGCCGCAGCCGCGGUAUACGUAGGUGGCAGCGUUGUCGGAUUAUUGGGCGUAAGCGAGCGCAGCGGUUUUUAGGCUGAUGUGAAGCCUUCGGUUACCGGAGAGUGCUCGGAACCGGAGACUGAUGCAAAGAGACGUGGACUCCUGUGUGCGUGAAUGCUAGAUUAUGGAGAACACAGUGCGAAGCGGUGCUGGCUGUACUGAGCUGAGCUCGAAAGCAUGGGUAGCGAACAGGAUUAGAUACCCUGGUAGUCCAUGCUGUAAACGAUGAGUGCUAAGUGUUGGAGGGUUUCCGCCCUUUCAGUGCUGCAGCUAACGCAUUAAGCACUCCGCCUGGGGAGUACGACCGCAAGGUUGAAACUCAAAGGAAUUGACGGGGGCCCGCACAAGCGGUGGAGCAUGUGGUUUAAUUCGAUGCUACGCGAAGAACCUUACCAGGUCUUGACAUCUUCUGCCAACCUAAGAGAUUAGGCGUUCCCUUCGGGGACAGAAUGACAGGUGGUGCAUGGUUGUCGUCAGCUCGUGUCGUGAGAUGUUGGGUUAAGUCCCGCAACGAGCGCAACCCUUAUUGUUAGUUGCCAGCAUUCAGUUGGGCACUCUAGCAAGACUGCCGGUGACAAACCGGAGGAAGGUGGGGAUGACGUCAAAUCAUCAUGCCCCUUAUGACCUGGGCUACACACGUGCUACAAUGGACGGUACAACGAGUCGCGAAACCGCGAGGUCAAGCUAAUCUCUUAAAGCCGUUCUCAGUUCGGAUUGUAGGCUGCAACUCGCCUACAUGAAGUUGGAAUCGCUAGUAAUCGUGGAUCAGCAUGCCACGGUGAAUACGUUCCCGGGCCUUGUACACACCGCCCGUCACACCAUGAGAGUUUGUAACACCCAAAGACGGUGAGGUAACCUUCGGGGACCAGCCGUCUAAGGUGGGACAGAUGAUUAGGGUGAAGUCGUAACAAGGUAACC